GACGAACGCUGGCGGCGUGCUUAACACAUGCAAGUCGAACGGAAAGGCCCUGCUUUUGUGGGGUGCUCGAGUGGCGAACGGGUGAGUAACACGUGAGUAACCUGCCCUUGACUUUGGGAUAACUUCAGGAAACUGGGGCUAAUACCGGAUAGGAGCUCCUGCUGCAUGGUGGGGGUUGGAAAGUUUCGGCGGUUGGGGAUGGACUCGCGGCUUAUCAGCUUGUUGGUGGGGUAGUGGCUUACCAAGGCUUUGACGGGUAGCCGGCCUGGGAGGGUGACCGGCCACAUUGGGACUGAGAUACGGCCCAGACUCCAACGGGAGGCAGCAGUGGGGAAUAUUGCACAAGGGGCGGAAGCCUGAUGCAGCAACGCCGCGUGCGGGAUGACGGCCUUCGGGUUGUAAACCGCUUUCGCCUGUGACGAAGCGUGAGUGACGGUAAUGGGUAAAGAAGCACCGGCUAACUACGUG
rnacentral:rRNA from 1 species